rnacentral:rRNA from 1 species
GACGAACGCUGGCGACGUGCUUAACACAUGCAAGUCGAGCGGUAAGGCCCUUUCGGGGGUACACGAGCGGCGAACGGGUGAGUAACACGUGGGUGACCUGCCCUCAGCUCUGGGAUAAGCCUGGGAAACCGGGUCUAAUACUGGAUAUGACUCCAUGACGCAUGUUGUGGGGUGGAAAGCCUUGUGCGGCUGAGGAUGGGCCCGCGGCCUAUCAGCUUGUUGGUGGGGUGANGGCCUACCAAGGCGACGACGGGUAGCCGGCCUGAGAGGGCGACCGGCCACACUGGGACUGAGACACGGCCCAGACUCCUACGGGAGGCAGCAGUGGGGAAUCUUGCGCAAUGGGCGAAAGCCUGACGCAGCGACGCCGCGUGAGGGAUGACGGCCU